UACGAAGGGGGCUAGCGUUGCUCGGAAUCACUGGGCGUAAAGCGCACGUAGGCGGAUUGUUAAGUCAGGGGUGAAAUCCGGGAGCUCAACUCCAGAACUGCCUUUGAUACUGGCGAUCUCGAGUCCGGGAGAGGUGAGUGGAACUGCGAGUGUAGAGGUGAAAUUCGUAGAUAUUCGCAAGAACACCAGUGGCGAAGGCGGCUCACUGGCCCGGUACUGACGCUGAGGAACGAAAGCGUGGGGAGCAAACAGG
rnacentral:rRNA from 1 species